ensembl:lncRNA
GUAGCACUUGCCUUUUCCCCCUGUCUUUAAAGGAGCACUCUCUAAAUACACUGCUCUCUGGGGUUUGACCAGGGCUAAUAAGGUAGAGGAAAAAUUGCCAUCGUUUUGCCUACUAGAUUUAAUCUACCUUUUAUCCCUGGACUGUUUCAAAGGAUGAUUGCUUCUCCAGAGCUGCCAGAUCUUUGUUUUACUUCUAAGCUGGGUGAAAAGGCUAUUGCAGUUUCAGCUGAAUCAAUAGCGUUGUGCAGCUUUAUUACCACACUUGGUCCCCACCAAGAGCUUUACUUGGACUUGACAUCUGUCACGAGCUGCCUGGCACCUCAAGCAGGCACACGCUGAUUUCUGCAACAGGUACACGCAUAGAGCAGCUGGGCUCUCAGACUACACAGAGGAAACAUGCUACAGAAUGAAAGUCACCAAAGGUCUGCCAGGACGGCUGUGCUGGAGCAGAUGAGUGGGUCGGUGAGCAGGAGGAUUGGGUUGGGAAACAAACCAGAAGUGCGAUUAGGAUAUGGAAGGCCUUGGCUGCAAAAGUUCAAGGGAAGAAAACUUGGAGUACUCGGUUGGCAUGGUGAUGAGAAGGGCGGUCAGGUGAUCUCGUCCCUAUUUUUCUCAUCUGCUGACUGAUUUAACAAACGUGGGCCCAUCUGGUGGUUAUUAAGUGAUUGCCUCUCAAGGUCUCACCUUGACAGAUAAUCUAGUUGGAGAAGGGAGCGGGUUCUUCCUUCCCAUUUUGCAUCUGCUGCCCUUGGAACAGAUGCCUCGAAGAUCAACCUGUGAUUUAUAGCACCAGAGUUGGGUGUGGGAUCUCCCUGAUAACUCACAGAGGUUCUUGGUCCUGAAGAAUCUGAUACUGACCACCGCACAGGGAGGAAACAGGAUGAGCUGAACCGCAUGCCAAGUCUAAUAGAGCUAUAUUUAUGUUCUGAAAAACUCCUGACUAUAAGUGGAAGCACCUCCUGGCAACAAAACCUGGUGCAGGCAGUGAGUACACAUUCCUCUGUAAACUAAAGUGACCUAUUGCUUCAUUUUUGACAGCCAGGGGCCUCAUUUGGGAUGCAGCUGUUAUUGUAUGGAAACAGACACCCUCUUGCUGUGUCAGGCCAUCCUUAAACAGACAAGGAGUCCCUGUUUUCAACACAUGGCAUGCUUCUGGUUCCAUCUCUGAAUGCACUUUGGUGUUUCUAUCCAUGCCAAUGGCAGCUCAAUUAGAAGUGUUCUAUGCAUACAGAGCCCUGCAGAGGAUUCAAAAAUCAGUUAGUCCUCAGAGCAUUUCUAGAUGUGUUGCUUUCUGUGCAGACAGUGCUGUGGUACUUCUGGUUCGCUGCUGAAGUGAGGGCCAUUUUCCAGUCCUAUUUAACAUAGUAGUUAAUGAUCAGGGUGAUAUGGCAGAAGAUACCCUUGGCCUGUUUACAGAUGACACAAAACUGGGACGAACAGCUGAUAGGCCAAAGGCCGUGCAGCUAUCCCGAGGGUCCUCAGCUGUCUGCAGAAGUGGGCUGACAGGAACCUUGAGAAGUUCAUCCAGGAGAAGUGUGGAGUCCUGCACCUGGCACCGGGAUAUGCUAGGGGAAUCCAGCUCAAGAACAGGGCCAAGGGUCCUAGUGGACACCAAGUUUGAGUUAAAGUAUGUUCUUGCUGCUAAGGAGCAUAAUGGUUUAUUGGGCUGCAUUUGGCAAAGAAUUGGCAGUGAGUUGAGGGAGAUGCUCCUUCCACUCUGAGCAGCGUGGGUGAGGUCAAACCUGGAGUGCUGUGUCCAGUUUUGGGCUCCCAGUACAAGAGACAGUUGGACACUCUGGAGAGAGUCCAGUGGAGAGGCAGCGAGAUGAUGAAGGGACUGGAGCAUCUCUUCUGUGAGGAGGGGCUAAAAGAGCUGGGACUGCUUAACUUAAAGAAAAUUAGGCUCUGGGGAACCUUAUCAAUGUCCGUAAAUGCCUGAGGGGAGGGUGCAGAGAGGUUGGAGCCAGGCUUUGUUCAGUGGUACCCAGUGCCAGGACAAGAGGGGAAGGGCACAAACUGGAACACAGGAAGCUCCCCCUGAACAUCAGGCAGCUCUUCUAUGCUGUGUGGGUGACUGAAUCCUGGCACAGGCUGCCCAGAUGCUGUGGGGUCUUCUGUGGGGAGAUCUUCAGAAGCUGCCUGGACAGGGCACCCUGUUCUGGGUGUCCCUGCUUGGGCAGGGGUUGGGCUAGAGGGACACAGAGGCCCCCACCAGCCUCAGCCACUGAUUCCACCUUCCUUCCAGCACUGGCAUUGCACAGCCUCGGUAGCAGCACGUGUUGGUGUGUCCCAGAUCUUCUAUGGAGUCUCUUCAGUGCGCUCCUACACACCUGUGAACCUCAGUGAACCUGACUGCAGCUCCUUCCUGCACUUGCCUGUCCUUCCCAAGCCUCGUGUGGGUUCACUGAGGUCAGAUACAGUGCUGGGCCAAGGGGUUGUCAGCAUCAUUGCCGGCAGAGAUGGGAACUGUUUAAAAGCAGGCAGCUGAGGCUAAACAGGAUUAAACAAGCACCAGUUCUGCAGCUGCAAAUACCAUGCACUGAAUGCUUUCCCUUAGCGGGCUGUGGGAAUGCUCAGUGGUGCAGCGAGGUGCAGCUGCCUUUCAGGGAAGAUGGCCUCCAUGGGUGAUGUCCCACGGUGCCGCGUUCAGUGCCCCAUGAUGGUGCCUGCAGGCUCCCAGUGGGGGUGGGGGUGUACCCUGCAUUGGUCAGUGAGAGGUGGCAGCAGUACAUCAGUGCUAGAAGAAACAGAAGGACUUUCUGCCUUUGCCCUCUCUUCCCUCUCAUUGGUUUGUAAGCUGCUGUGUGUGUGAGAAACAGCGCAACCUGAAUCUCCCGGUGGAUUUCCCAGCCCUGUGCAGGGAGGGGGGGCCCAAAAGCAUGUGAAGCACACAGAGCCAGCCUGGUGCUUCCUCAUCGCUCUGGAUGAUAUGUCCGUGCUGGCACAUGCUGCCACUAUGUCCUCUGCUUUAAACAUUUAGUAGCAUAAGUAAGAGUCACCUCAGCCAGCCUCUGACCAGAGCUGAAGCAGAUGCUCAGGAGAGGAUAAAAUUACAGCAGGUAUAGGAAAAUACUGCUGUUAUUAUACACCCCCAAUCUCCUGGGAUGCUGCGGUGCAAAGGCUUCUUCAGCUGGGCUGCACUUUCGUUGCAGAGUCCAACUUAUUUCACUGUACCAUUCUUCUGUAGAAUGAUCCAGUUACUUUGUGAUCCUAUUUUUACGUUUUGGAGUCCAGGCCAUGUUGGGAUAAGGAGGUCUCAAACCUAUUUAGAAGUUGUACUCUGGU